rnacentral:rRNA from 1 species
GGGUGGCGGGUCUAUAAUGCAGUCGACGGAGUAUGUAGCGAUAUAUACUUAGUGGCGAACGGGUGAGUAACGCGUUGGUGACCUGCCCCGAAGAGAGGGAUAACAGUUCGAAAGGACUGCUAAUACCGCAUGAGGUCGUUGAGUUUAGAGGCUUGACGACGAAAGGAGAAAUCCGCUUUGGGAGGGGCCUGCGUCCCAUCAGCUAGUUGGUAAGGUAAAGGCUUACCAAGGCGAAGACGGGUAGGGGGCCUGAGAGGGUGACCCCCCACACUGGCACUGAAACACGGGCCAGACACCUACGGGUGGCAGCAGUAGGGAAUAUUGCACAAUGGGCGAAAGCCUGAUGCAGCAACGCCGCGUGCGCGAAGAAGGUCUUCGGAUCGUAAAGCGCUUUUCGGGGAGAUGAGGAAGGACAGUAUCCCCGGAAUAAGGCUCGGCUAACUACGUGCCAGCAGCCGCGGUAAAACGUAGGAGCCAAGCGUUAUCCGAAUUCACUGGGCGUAAAGCGCGUGCAGGCGGUCUGGUAAGUUGGAUGUGAAAUCUCCUGGCUCAACUGGGAGAGGCCGUUCAAUACUGUCAGACUAGAGGGCGACAGAGGGAGGUAGAAUUCCCGGUGUAGUGGUGAAAUGCGUAGAUAUCGGGAGGAAUACCAGAGGCGAAGGCGACCUUCUGGGUCGUACCUGACGCUCAGACGCGAAAGCUAGGGGAGCGAACGGGAUUAGAAACCCCGGUAGUCCUAGCCGUAAACGAUGUAGACUGGGUGUUGGCGGGGUAAAAGCCGUCAGUGCCGAAGCAAACGCGAUAAGUCUACCGCCUGGGGACUACGGCCGCAAGGUUAAAACUCAAAGGAAUUGACGG